AUUGAACGCUGGCGGCAGGCCUAACACAUGCAAGUCGAACGAGUGGCGGACGGGUGAGUAAUGUCUGGGAAACUGCCUGAUGGAGGGGAAUACCUACUGGAAACGGUAGCUACUACCGCAUACCAUCAGAUGUGCCCAGUUGGGAUUAGCUUGUGGGGGGGGUAACGGCUCACCAAGGCGACGAGCCCUAGCUGGUCUGAGAGGAGGACCAGCCACACUGGAACGGAGACACGGUCCAGACUCCUACGGGAGGCAGCAUUGGGGAAUAUUGCACACGGGGCGAAAGCCUGAUGCAGCCAUGCCGCGUGGAUGAAGAAGGCCUUCGGGUGGUAAAGUACUUUCAGCGGGGAGGCGUUACCCGCAGAAGAAGCACCGGCUAACUCCGUGCCAGCAGCCGCGGUAAUAC
rnacentral:rRNA from 1 species